UACGGAGGGAGCAAGCGUUACUCGGAAUUAUUGGGCGUAAAGGGCGCGUAGGCGAUUUGAAAAGUCUUGUGUGAAAGCCCCGAGCUUAACUCGGGAAGUGCACAAGAAACUGUUGAAUUUGAGUUCCGGAGAGGAAGGCAGAAUUCCCGGUGUAGCGGUGAAAUGCGUAGAUAUCGGGAGGAAUACCAGUGGCGAAGGCGGCCUUCUGGACGGAUACUGACGCUGAGGCGGCGAAAGCCAGGG
rnacentral:rRNA from 1 species